CCUUCGUCACCAGCGUCGCCACUCCCUAGCAGGCCGCCCCUCCCCUUCGAAUCAGAUCGCAGAAGUGGCCGGGGAGAUCCUCGAGCUCGGCAUGCUCGCGCCAGUGGUAGGCGCCGUUGGAUGCGGACGCGGAGGCUCGGGACUUGCACGCCCUACUCUACCUUGUUCCUUCCAAUUCGGCCCCGAAGUGCUCGAGGAGGCGCUCGAGGUCGGCAUGCUCACAGGCGACGCUGGGUCCCUCCAUUCUCCUGGUUCCCUCACCGUCGCCAACAUGAGCCUCUCCACCCUCUCCCGCGCGAUCGUCCAGGUCUAGCCCCUUCUGGUUGUGAGUGGAUCCAAGAGUUCACAUGAUGCAGUAUCUUUUUGAAAGAUGAUACAUUAUCUUCAUAAAAGAAAGGAAGUUGGAGAAGUUAUUACUAAAGAGGAAUUCAGUGGUAUGUGCUUCUCAAGAGCUAAACUGGAACAAGAAGUGCAUGACUCUCAUGCCUACACUAACUAAUCAGACUUCCCGAAGGAGAAGAAGGAGGUGUGGAAAGAGGAUGGGAGCAACAAAUCUGAAUCAAAGAG